rnacentral:rRNA from 1 species
GACGAACGCUGGCGGCGUGCUUAACACAUGCAAGUCGAACGGAAAGGCCCCUUCGGGGGUCCUCGAGUGGCGAACAGGUGAGUAACACGUGAGUAACCUGCCCUUGACCUCGGGAUAACUUCAGGAAACUGGGGCUAAUACCGGAUAGGAAUCCUUGCUGCAUGGUGGGGGUUGGAAAGCUUCGGCGGUUUUGGAUGGACUCGCGGCUUAUCAGCUUGUUGGUGGGGUAGUGGCUUACCAAGGCUUUGACGGGUAGCCGGCCUGAGAGGGCGACCGGCCACAUUGGGACUGAGAUACGGCCCAGACUCCUACGGGAGGCAGCAGUGGGGAAUAUUGCACAAUGGGCGGAAGCCUGAUGCAGCGACGCCGCGUGCGGGAUGACGGCCUUCGGGUUGUAAACCGCUUUCAGCAGGGGCGAAGCUUGUGGUGACGGUACCUGCAGAAGAAGCACCGGCUAACUACGUG